AAUAAAAGCUGUGUUAUAUACAACAAAUAAAAGCUGUGUUAUAUACAACAAAUAAAAGCUGGGUGAUGUACAACAAAUAAAAGCGGCGUGAUGUACAACAAAUAAAAGCGGCGUGAUGUACAACAAAUAAAAGCGGCGUGAUGUACAACAAAUAAAAGCGGCGUGAUGUACAACAAAUAAAAGCUGUGUUAUGUACAACAAAUAAAAGCUGUGUUAUGUACGUGUGAUCUAUGAUAAAUAAAGGGUGCCAUACACCAGCGACAAACCAGGCGCCAAUAGCAGCGCUGAUCGCCGUGGGACACGGCAUACACAGGAUGGCCGAAUGUUAUCGAGCAACACUUCCGGCCUCGCAUAAUAAAUUAUUUACGAACUUAGGAAAUAUAUAGAACUUAUUAUUCUUAUAAUAUAAUUAGUAAUUUCAUAAUCAAGUAAAUAGUUCAUUCAUAUUUCUUUAUACGUAUAAUAUUUUAUUGGCGCCUUCCGCUUGACAGCUUCCGGCGCAAUAAGCCAUAAUGUUAUUUAUUAUGUAACGUAAAUAAUCAGCAGAAUAAUUAAGAUGAACAAUGUUUAAUAUUACCUACUUACUCAGUUUGUAUUAAAAUAGGUCAAGAUGAUUGUAUAAAUACCGACGGUUAGCAUAUCUCUGUUGCAUUCGUAUUCUACCCACCGUAAUGUGUGCUAAAGAAAAUAUAUUAUUUCGUGUGGA